GUGUCCGGCUGCCACUGUCAGUGCUGUACAGGGAGGAAUAGCGUUAGCUGCAGCUGUAUCACAUACCCGACGACAGCUAGGGGGAAAGCAAGAAGAAUCUCCCACCGGCCUCUCAGAGCAGCAGGGUAGUUAGUGUCUUUCAUCUGUUUUCCAACCACCUGACGGAGUUUCAAAGCUUGCAGGCGCAGUGCUGCUGUAGUCACAGUGCGCACUUCCUGUAUGCACCGCGGACCGGACCUGCAUGUAUGUGUAACUCCAGUCCACUCUUAUUCCCUCUGUGUGCCUGUUUGGCUUCCGCCUCCUCUGACAUGCAACCUCUUAACUGUGUGUGCCUUCCCUGUGUCUAAUUAGGGCCAUAUCCAGCCAAACCCAUUCAUGAUCUCACUAUGGGGACAUAGUGAGAUCAUGUCCCCAGUGGACCCUGCAGCUGUUGCCCGAAAGGGACACGGCAGACACUGAUUGCUGUGCAGUGUUCAAUAACAGAGGUUCCCGGCUUCCCGCCCCUCUAAAUGUCGGCAAAGCCGCAGCGUGUGCCGUGUGACAGAGCUGGGACACUGGGAGGAGAUGCCAGGAGCAGCGGAGCUGAUUAGAGCACAGGAACUUAAGACCAGUUAAGAAACUGUACCCGAGGAGAGACAGCAACACGACCAACAGAGGAGGAGGGGACGCUGGAGUUAGUACCAUGGGGACAUCCCAAAGCUUCCCAAAUGGGCGGGAGAGCACUGAGAAUUCUGUAAGACUGCACAGUCAAGCCGAGACUCAAGGCCACAACCGAGAGACUUUUUGGAGUGUGACAAAAGUAUGUCAGGCAACCUAAUAUGCAGUAUGACCCAAAGGCAACCGAUAUAGAGACCCACCAACAAAUAGAAAGAGGCGAUACAGAUGCCAGAAAUGGCCAAGAAGCAGAGAGGCUAGGAUCGGCCAAUAAAACAAUAUGACUGGGAUAAAUAUGUCGUACCAAUAGCAAGCCAGAAAGUUUGUCAAGGCUGGCCAUGCAGUUAUCGAAACAAAGGUGGAGCCAUCAUGGCUACACAGAUAUUGAAGCCACGAUCAUGCCCUGAAAAAAAACAUAAGGAUUACAGAGGCUAGCCCGAAAGAUUGCAACCCUGCAAUAGCAAGUGAGAUCCGAACCGUAAGGCAGAACGUUGAAGCCCAACAACUCCCUGAACAAACAGAUGAAUGUCUGGCAGGAUGUGUUAUAGAGAAGACCGACCAGCAAGUCUGCACUUUAAGGAAGAGCAUACAGAGCCCUGCUUGCCAACAAAAAUGGAAAAGUUGCCACCAGUCACCAAGAGUAUGCUGCUUAGGCCACAAAUUUUGUCCGAUAUUAAAGGAACACCUGACUACAGGCGGCAUACAGCCACAGAGACGAUAGAGUAACCACUGCGGAAUGCUAUAUUACCCUCAUGGGAAAGUACUCCGGCAUGCCACAUAAAAUUAAAGAACCAACAUUCUGUGCCACCAAAGUUUUCCGCAUGCCUACACCUCUGUAACAGCUAAUCUGUCAAGUGUAGGUGCCAGAACAAGCCCAAACACAGAGGCAACAUCCCAGGGUCGUCCGCGAAAGAAUCAGCAGAUCUGUAGACCGAGACAUGCGAGGCAAAACAAAAGAAUGAGAAUUAAACAUUCAUAUAUUGUCUACACUGCAUGAGUAAACAGGGAAGGAGUACGAAAAACAGUGAACACCUACGCUAACUGGUAAGACCACAGAUCUGACAAGGCCUCCACAGUUAGGGCCCAUCACCAGAGUAGAAAUUGUCUGUGCAGAAAACUCACUCUAAUGCACCCCAUACACUUGUGCGAUUGCAUUUGACGCGAUAUCGGGCCCAAUUUUCCUUAAGCUCACCUUGAGAUAAAUCUCAUCGAAAGUGCUUUUUUUGUGCAUUCGAUUCGCAUACAAUCUUGCGAUUUAUCGCAUGCCCCUAGCGACUGGAAAUCAGGUGACAUUGUAUGAUCGAAUGCGAACGCAUCGCAUGCUGACCAAAGCACACCAGAUUUAUCUGCAAGAUCUUUAAAAAUGUAAAUAGAGGGCUGGGCUAUCUGGGGGGUAUAUAAACAAGCAGUCAUUUUAACUCUGUGCACUUCUGUUUGCUUUGUGACUAGAGAAGUUUGGUUUAGAAGUUUGCUAGCUACCGUGCACUGCUUUGUUCUGCUUGCAUUACAAAGUGUUUCUAUACUGCUGUGUGUAGAGAUGGAUUCUCCUCGCUAUCAGGCUCUCAUGUGCUACACUGUGCUCAAGAUGAGGGGAGACAGGGAGAGGGCCCAGCAAAGGCGGAAAGAGAGAUCUUGCUGGAUGAAGGACUGGUUACUUAAAAAGCCUACUCGGUCCUACAUGCAACUCCUGGAUGAGAUUAGGGACAAUAUCCCGGACAACUACGCAACUUCCUGAGCACGGAUGAUGACACUUUCCAGGAGUUGCUGCGUCUGGUGACCCCCCACAUAGAGAAGCAGGAUACUAAAUGGCGGGUGCCUAUCCCUGCUCAGGAGAGGCUCGUGGCUACCCUGUGGUUCCUUGCUACUGGACAGUAGUCGUUUGAAGACCUGAAGUUUGGGACCCGUAUCUCUGUGCAGGCUUUGGGACACAUCAUACCUGAAACCUGCAAGGCUAUUAUCAAGGUGCUUCAGUACAAGAACUGUAAGUUCCCUACAAGCGUGGAAGAAUGGUAAGCUAUUGCAGAGGAUUUUGACAGGUGCUGGAAUUUCCCAAACUGUGGUGGUGCAAUAGACGGGAAACGUGCGCAUCACCAAAACCACCAACAGCGGGUCGGACUACUUCAAUUAUAAAGGCUACUUUAGCAUUGUUCUCAUGGCAGUGGUCAAUGCAAUCUAUGAAUUUAUUUUCCUGGAUGUUGGUUAAAAUGGUCGUUGCUCAGAUGAUGGAUCCUUGAAAAAUACACGUUUCUAUGAUAGGCUCACCACCAACUCAAUUCAUCUGCCGCCUGUUGAGCAAACAAAGAAUGGGCUGGGAUUUGUGUUCGUGGAAGAUGAGGCCUUCGCACUGCACAAACACAUAAUGAAGUCCUACCCGCAAAGAGUCCUGAACAACGAUAGGUGCAUUUUCAACUACCGCCUUUCUAGGGCCUGUCGGGUUGUUGAGAAUGCAUUUGGCAUUCUCAGCAACCGCUUCAGGAUCUUCCACCGACCCAUCAACUUGAGGCUGUACAAAAUUGACUGUGUAGUAACAGCAUGCUGUAUACUGCACAACAUGCUCCGACGCAAGGCCACGAGACAAAAGCCUUUGCUCCCAGCAGGAUCGGAAGACCCCAACAAGCCAUUGGUGAAAGUGCCAAUUUCCUCGGUGGGACCACCUGCAGUAACCUUACGCGACACUGCAAGGGCAAAGAGGUCCGUGAAAAUUAUAAUGGCUUUUUCAAUGGGGAAGGAGCUGUGGCAUGGCAGGAGGAAUAUAUCAGCUAAGAAAAAUUUAAAAGCAACUUACCCCUUCGGCCUCCUCCACAUCCAGACUUCCCUCCUCGGACUCUGCCAUCACCACCAGGGACUCCUUAGCUGAUCGUUUCUCCAGGAGGAAGUUUAGUUCUUCGUAAUACCACAGCUGCGGCACAUAGACCUUGUCUGCACCGGCCCCUGACCUCUUCGACUCCUCCAGCUUGUGGUUCUCUUUUACAAAACUGUCUGUAUAUUCACAAUUUUCUUCCGGAUCCAGGCCACCGUGGACAAAAAAAAAGGUGAGCCUCCCUCUUCUGCUUGUUGCUGUAGUCCGGAGAGGACAUCAUCCAGAGACACUCCUCCUCACGAUACAGGCUGAUAAAGCCUGGUAGAAAAUAGCGCUCUCACAGGACAUCUGCAGAAUGCAAAAAAAGGAAAAUGAAUAAACAUGAAAAAAGUUCCAUUAU